UACGGAGGGGGCAAGCGUUGUUCGGAUUUACUGGGCGUAAAGGGUGUGUAGGCGGCUGGAUAAGUCUGGCGUGAAAUCUUCACCGCUUAACGGGAAGGGGUCGCUGGAAACUGUUCAGCUUGAGUAUGGUAGAGGCAAGCGGAAUUCCUGGUGUAGCGGUGGAAUGUGUAGAUAUCAGGAAGAACACCGGUGGCGAAGGCGGCUCUCUGGGCCUUACCUGACGCUGAGACGCGAAAGCGUGGGGAGCGAACCGG
rnacentral:rRNA from 1 species